CAUGCGCACACACAUUAUAGCGUGACUCUCGGGCGAUUCUUGUGCAUACCCCACCGUGGUGCGCAAACUGGUCUGAGCGGAACGUAUGCGGUAAACGUCAAACCAAGUAUUUCCCAUCGGUCUCAUCUCGGGGGCCAUCGAGGUGCCACGCCUGCGACGUAAUCGCUGGCGGUGCUUCUCAACACGCGAGCGUAUACCGAGACGCCGCCGACGCUACGGUGAGAGCCGAACCCACAUCUUCGACACCACACGUGCUGUGCUUUACUACCAUUGGACUGCUGUCCGGUUGACGCUUCCAUGCACUCUAAACCAAAGCACUUCUGCAAGGUGUACCCUAGGAGGGUGAGCCAGCGCUAAUCAUGGGCACGGUGGUGGAAGUGGAGUACGCCAAGGCGGCGUCACCUAGCAGUUUUCGCUUCACGAGAGCCAGUGGUUGGAGUCUAGAAAUCAGUCGACGCAGCGAGGUUCCAUCCUUGCGAACGCCGUAGUAAUGGCGACGUGCAACCCAACCAUGAGCACUCCUUGGGAUCAAGCCAGCUCAUGGCGGAAUAUCAACGGAAAAACCGUCGGAAAAGAUGCUAAACUUGAGCGCCGGAUCAUAGAAGCUUGCUGGGAAAUCUUCAUAUGAUAUUUUUUUUUAUUUGUUUCAUACUGUUAGCUUUAUUAGUGGAACACGUUGUGGGGCUACUUGGUUCAUAGCUUCCGUUCAGUGC